UCGUCUCUGUACAAUUUAUGCUAAUUCCAUAAGUGAAUAUUUGUACCUGUAACGACCCAGCCCACUAGCAACAAUAACUCGUUAGGCCCAACCACCGGCCCAAAAUGCUUAAGCCCAGUUAUUAUUACUAGUGUCUAAGUCUCUUAUAUACCCAAUCGCAUCCCCAAUCAUAUCCGAUGUGGAAUUAUUGGGGUGUGACAGACUCCCCCCGUUAAGACCCUGAUGUCCUCGUCAGCCUAAUCACACACACAGCCCAAGAUCACCAGGCGAUGUGAAGCUCGUCUCGCUAGCCUUGUCAUCCAGACCCUGGCAUAGCCGGUCACCUUGUCAUUCAGACUCCGACAUAGCCUAUCACCUUGCUUUCAGACCCUGGCUCAGCCGAGACUCGCCACACAUUUCCGGCUGGUAAAUUGGCUCUGAUACCAAAUGUAACGACCCAGCCCACUAGCAACAAUAACUCGUUGGGCCGAACCACCGGCCCAAAAUGCUUAAGCCAAGUUAUUAUUACUAGUGUCCAAGUCUCUUAUAUACCCAAUCACAUCCCCAAUCAUAUCCGAUGUGGGAUUAUUGGGGUGUGACAGUACCACU
rnacentral:lncRNA from 1 species